AACAAACCCCUAAAAGAUUCUUUUAUGGGUAUUUCUCUUUGUUUGAGAUUAUUUCCUGCCAUAAACAGCAGCGUGUGUUUGUAGAUGAACUAACUACAAAUCCCACAAGCCCCUGCGCAACCCGGCGUGAGCGCGAAUACGUCACUGUACGUGGGAGAGGCGGUUGUGGUGGAGAAUUUUGAACGUAGGUUAGCUAGAGGCUAGCAGGCUAACUAGACUGAUUUAGAGAGAUUAAAACACGGCUUUUAGACUAAAAACAGCCACCGCUUUCAGUGCGGUUAGUGUAGUCCCACCCACACGAGAUGUUAGUGGGGUUUAAUGUGAUUUCUGUGAAGAAAUAUAGCUAAAGUAGUUGUUAGCUGGAGUUGUUGUGGUAAGGAGCUGAUAGCUGACAGAGACACUGGGUAACGUUAGUUAAACGUUACUUGGUUGGUUGGUUAGGACAGUAAACUGAAGAAGCUACUGGUCACCAUGCUGAUCUGAUCCGAACCUCUGGGAGAUGUUGUUCUCUACCCGGCGGCCAUGGACGACUCGGACCAGGAGUUCUCUGAUCUCUGCUCUCGGCUCCUCAAGAGGGUGAAACGGAAAGAUUCUGGGGAUGAGAAGAAACCAGUCGCAGCUCCAGAUGAAGCUGCAGGUCCCUCUCAGAGCAGAGCUCCCCCCCGGAGGAAGAGGCAGAAGAACGGGCAGCUCCAGAGCCAGGCAGCGGGCAGGUCGCAGCCUGUCUGUCCGGCAGAUGGAGCCUCCUCUCUCAGCGUGAAGGAGAAGGUGCUACGGAGGAUGGAGCGCUUUAGGAGAGAGAGUCCUCCCCGGCUUCUCCAUGUGGAGGCAGAGGAACAUCGGGGGGAGACAGUAUCACCACCCAGACGAGAGCUCAAAGAAGAAACUGAAAGUGAUGAAGCACUGGCUCGGAGGCUCCAGCAGCAGCUGGAUCAUGAGGCUGAGACCCAGGCUGUGGUGGACACAGAGGGUAAAGGCUUGUUCUUGUGCCAGCUCUGCUACAAAGACCUGUCAGCUAUGAGCCCUCAGCUACGCACUCAGCAUAUCAACAGGUACUGCAGCAGGCUAGCACUAACUACACUGAAACAAUACUACUGUGGCAGAUUCUUUAAACUGGC
rnacentral:lncRNA from 1 species